UGCCUGCGGUCAAGGAAAAAAGAAGGCGGUC
rnacentral:piRNA from 1 species